rnacentral:rRNA from 1 species
CACGUAGGGGGCGAGCGUUGUCCGGAUUCAUUGGGCGUAAAGGGUGCGUAGGCGGCGCGGUAAGUCGGGUGUGAAAUCUCGGAGCUUAACUCCGAAACUGCAUUCGAUACUGCCGUGCUUGAGGACUGGAGAGGAGACUGGAAUUUACGGUGUAGCGGUGAAAUGCGUAGAUAUCGUAAGGAAGACCAGUGGCGAAGGCGGGUCUCUGGACAGUUCCUGACGCUGAGGCACGAAGGUCAGGGGAGCAAACGGG